UCGGGAAUAUUGCGGCAAUGGAGGAAACUCUGACGCAGUGACGCCGCGUAUAGGAAGAAGGUUUUCGGAUUGUAAACUAUUGUCGUUAGGGAAGAUACAAGACAGUACCUAAGGAGGAAGCUCCGGCUAACUACGUGCCAGCAGCCGCGGUAAUACGUAGGGAGCAAGCGUUAUCCGGAUUUAUUGGGUGUAAAGGGUGCGUAGACGGGAUAACAAGUUAGUUGUGAAAGCCCUCGGCUUAAACUGAGGAACUGCAACUAAAACUAUUAUUCUUGAGUGUUGGAGAGGAAAGUGGAAUUCCUAGUGUAGCGGUGAAAUGCGUAGAUAUUAGGAGGAACACCGGUGGCGAAGGCGACUUUCUGGUACGAAUAACU
rnacentral:rRNA from 1 species